GGGUUAGUAGGUUGGUCAUGCCUCUGGUAUGUACUGGUCUCACUGAUUCCUCCUUCCUGAUGAGCCGUAAUGCCAUUAAUUUGGCGUUGCGGGGAAUUUGGACUGUUACUUUGAAAAAAUUAGAGUGUUUAAAGCAAGCUUACGCUUGAAUACAUUAGCAUGGAAUAAUGAAAUAGGACAUCCGAUUCUAUUUUGUUGGUUUCUAGGAUCGAGAUA
rnacentral:rRNA from 1 species